rnacentral:rRNA from 1 species
GACAGAGGUGCCAAGCGUUAGGCGGAAUCACUGGGCUUAAAGCGUGUGUAGGCGGAUGUCUAAGUACCUUGUGAAAUCCCACGGCUCAACCGUGGAACUGCUGGGUAUACUGGUUGUCUUGAGCCAGCUAGGGGCGAGCGGAACAGACGGUGGAGCGGUGAAAUGCGUAGAUAUCGUCUGGAACGCCGAAGGUGAAAACAGGUCGCUGGGGCUGUGCUGACGCUGAGACACGAAAGCCAGGGGAGCGAACGGG